GAUGAACGCUGGCGGCGUGCUUAACACAUGCAAGUCGAACGGAAAGGCUCCUGCUUGCAGGGGUACUCGAGUGGCGAACGGGUGAGUAACACGUGGGUGAUCUGCCCUUCACUUCGGGAUAAGCCUUGGAAACUGGGUCUAAUACCGGAUAGGACGAUUGUUUGGAUGCCAUUGUGGAAAGUUUUUUCGGUUUGGGAUGAGCUCGCGGCCUAUCAGCUUGUUGGUGGGGUAAUGGCCUACCAAGGCGUCGACGGGUAGCCGGCAUGUGAGGGUGUACGGCCACAUUAGGACUGAGGUACGGCCCAGAAUGCUACGGGAGGCAACAGUGGGGAAUAUUGCACAAUGGGCGCAAGCCUGAGGCAGCGACGCCGCGUGCGGGAUGACGGCCUUCGGGUUGUAAACUCAUUUCGCUAGGGACGAAGCGCAAGUGACGGUACCUGGAGAAGAAGCACCGGCUAACUACGUG
rnacentral:rRNA from 1 species